rnacentral:rRNA from 1 species
AUUGAACGCUGGCGGCAGGCCUAACACAUGCAAGUCGAGCGGAUGAAGGGAGCUUGCUCCUGGAUUCAGCGGCGGACGGGUGAGUAAUGCCUAGGAAUCUGCCUGGUAGUGGGGGAUAACGUCCGGAAACGGGCGCUAAUACCGCAUACGUCCUGAGGGAGAAAGUGGGGGAUCUUCGGACCUCACGCUAUCAGAUGAGCCUAGGUCGGAUUAGCUAGUUGGUGGGGUAAAGGCCUACCAAGGCGACGAUCCGUAACUGGUCUGAGAGGAUGAUCAGUCACACUGGAACUGAGACACGGUCCAGACUCCUACGGGAGGCAGCAGUGGGGAAUAUUGGACAAAGGGCGAAAGCCUGAUCCAGCCAUGCCGCGUGUGUGAAGAAGGUCUUCGGAUUGUAAAGCACUUUAAGUUGGGAGGAAGGGCAGUAAGUCAAUACCUUGCUGUUUUGACGUUACCAACAGAAUAAGCACCGGCUAACUUCGUG